rnacentral:rRNA from 1 species
CCUACGGGUGGCAGCAGUGAGGAAUAUUGGUCAAUGGGCGCGAGCCUGAACCAGCCAAGUCGCGUGAGGGAGGACGGCCCUACGGGUUGUAAACCCCUUUUGCCGGGGAGCAAAGGGCGUCACGUGUGGCGCCACUGAGAGUACCCGGAGAAUAAGCAUCGGCUAACUCCGUGCCAGCAGCCGCGGUAAUACGGAGGAUGCGAGCGUUAUCUGGAUUUAUUGGGUUUAAGGGGUUCGUAGGGGGUUCGUUAAGUCAGUGGUCAAAUUGAGGGGCUCAACCCCUGCCCGCCAUUGAUACUGGCGCUCUUGAGUGAAAGAGAGGUAUGCGGAAUGCGUGGUGUAGCGGUGAAAUGCGUAGAUAUCACGCAGAACACCGAUUGCGAAGGCAGCAUGCCGGCUUCCGACUGACGCUGAGGCACGAAAGCGUGGGGAUCGAACAGGAUUAGAUACCCUAGUAGUC